rnacentral:rRNA from 1 species
UGCCUGUAAGAUCGGGAUAACGCCGGGAAACCGGGGCUAAUACCGGAUAGUUUUUUCCUCCGCAUGGAGGAAAAAGGAAAGACGGCUUCUGCUGUCACUUACAGAUGGGCCCGCGGCGCAUUAGCUAGUUGGUGGGGUAACGGCUCACCAAGGCAACGAUGCGUAGCCGACCUGAGAGGGUGAUCGGCCACAUUGGGACUGAGACACGGCCCAAACUCCUACGGGAGGCAGCAGUAGGGAAUCUUCCGCAAUGGACGAAAGUCUGACGGAGCAACGCCGCGUGAGUGAAGAAGGCCUUCGGGUCGUAAAACUCUGUUGCCGGGGAAGAACAAGUGCCGUUCGAACAGGGCGGCGCCUUGACGGUACCCGGCCAGAAAGCCACGGCUAACUACGUGCCAGCAGCCGCGGUAAUACGUAGGUGGCAAGCGUUGUCCGGAAUUAUUGGGCGUAAAGCGCGCGCAGGCGGCUUCUUAAGUCUGAUGUGAAAUCUUGCGGCUCAACCGCAAGCGGUCAUUGGAAACUGGGAGGCUUGAGUGCAGAAGAGGAGAGUGGAAUUCCACGUGUAGCGGUGAAAUGCGUAGAGAUGUGGAGGAACACCAGUGGCGAAGGCGGCUCUCUGGUCUGUAACUGACGCUGAGGC